rnacentral:rRNA from 1 species
UUCGAGUGGGGGACGGGUGAGUAACGCGUGGGUAACCUGCCUUACACAGGGGGAUAACACCUGGAAACAGGUGCUAAUACCGCAUAAGCGCACAGGGCCGCAUGGCCCGGUGUGAAAAACUCCGGUGGUGUAAGAUGGACCCGCGUCUGAUUAGCUUGUUGGCGGGGUAGAGGCCCACCAAGGCGACGAUCAGUAGCCGGCCUGAGAGGGUGGACGGCCACAUUGGGACUGAGACACGGCCCAAACUCCUACGGGAGGCAGCAG